rnacentral:rRNA from 1 species
AUGGCGAGCAAGGCCCACCUCUCCUUCCUGCUCCUCGCGGUCGUCGCGGCCUCCCUCGCCGGCCGGUCCGCCGGCAUAUUCCACAUCGUCGGCGCCGGCAAGGGGUGGCGCAUCGCCCCCAACCAGACCUACUACGCCGACUGGGCCCGCACCAGGGACAUCCACGUCGGCGACAAGCUCAUGUUCCUGUACCGGAGCGGGGUGUACGACAUCGUGCAGGUGCCGACCAAGGAGCUGUUCGACGCGUGCAGCAUGGACAACGUCACCAUGCGGUACCAGCUCGGCCCCACCAUCAUCAAGCUCGACACGCCCGGCCCGCGCUACUACUUCUGCGGCGUCGGCGAGCACUGCGAGGGCGGCCAGAAGGUCGCCGUCAACGUCUCCGGCGACCCCGCCGCCACCCCCACCGCCACCACCACCGCGGCCCCCGAGACGCCCGCCGCAGCGGCGCUGCCGCCGGCGUCGUCGACGGCGCAGGCGGAGGCCGAGCAGGCGUCGUCCACGGCGCAGGCGGAGGCCGCUCAGGCGUCAUCGACGGCGCAGGCGGAGGCCGCGCAGGCGUCGUCGACGGCGCAGGCGGAGGCCGCUCAGCCGUCGUCGAUGGAGCAGGUGGAGCCCACGCAGGCGUCGUCGACGGCGCAGGAGGAGCUCGCGCAGGCGUCGACGAUGGAGGUGGACCCCGCGAAGCUUGUGGACGCCAAGAAGAAACUAUAG